AAUGAAGAGAAAGCUAACUUUACAACCGCCCACUUCACAUAUAAUGAAUAUGAAUGGGUAUCCCGGAGCCUGUUUUGUGGGAUUGUCUGUGAGGUGACAGGUCCUCCUACUUACUGGGCCAUCCCAGCCAGCCUGUCCCCUGCCUGGGGCAUGAGCAGCCCUUCCACCUGCUUCUCAUUAGCUGUGUCCCUCCUCCUCCCACACACCCCUAAGACACGGCCCCGUCUCCAGAUAACCCUGCCCUCAGCCUCACUCCAGAGCUAACCUCAGACCUCCGCCCAGGCCAGUGGUUCCUCAAGGCCAGGCCUGUGCUCUGGCCACUCCUUCUGGGAAGGGAAAGGGGAAGGCCCAUCAGUCACAGAUGGGACUUCCCAUCUCACAGCUGUGUGACCAUCAGGAGUACACUGCUGCCUUCCACCCCUGCUGUCCCUAACCAUGCUGGCACAUCAAAAGGCCUGUCCUGAGGCUCAGCAGGUCCCAGGCCAGGCAGGCAUGAACACAAGACCCAAAGAAGGGGAGAUGCUCCCCAGAACAUGUUUCCUUUACAAGUCAAGACCCCUUGGAGAUUUAACAACCUACAAAACAACUGCCUACAGGUAAAAUAAGAGCUUCCAGGAAUUCUAAAAAGGAAACACUCCUUUCACCAGCAUCAAAACACUAAUAUCUUCUCAGGCAGAUGAAACCAGGGGUCUGGAGGCCAAAGUGGAGGCGCCAGGUGUCCACUGACACCUACUACAAAGAUUUUCCUUGCUUUUCUCUCAGCCACAGGGGGCUCCUGGGCCCUCCAACACUUUUUCCCACCGUGAACCUGACUCCUGAUGGUCUGCUUCCUAGGCUCUGAGUACUGAAGUUUCCCCUCAGUCCCAACCACCUGCCCCAGGGAGGACCUAGAGCAGCAGACCCCCUUGCUUUGACCUAGCCCCUCCCUCCAUAGCACUGACACUGGUUUGGCUGAGGCCAGCUCAGUGAUGUGAUCCAGAGAAACCUGGGGCUCCUACUGAAAUUACAGCAAACCCAGGGGUGCAGGACAAUGUGUCAGUAAAGUAACCUAGUGCCCUGGAGUUGGGCUAGAGCAAUCCCAGAUUACUGUGGGGUUAACUUACACUGGAUAAAUGCCAACUCUCUCUCCUCUUCCCCCAGGAUGGGAAAGGCAGGCAGCUUGACAAGGACAAGCGUUGACCAGCAAUGCUAGCAGAAA
rnacentral:lncRNA from 1 species